rnacentral:lncRNA from 1 species
AUGCAAAGGAGCUCGAGCCUAGCUCGUGUUUCUUUUUCUCUUUCUAACGGUGCGAUCCUAAGACUACUUUUAGGAGUUUCGCUUGGCUUCAUCGCCUUUCCCCAAAUCAGACUUGCACUUGCCUCCUGCAGGAAGACAGAAGCCAAUAAACAGGGAAACUCAAGCAAAGGGCGACGAUUACAAGGUCGUGAAACUGCACGCGCGCCCAGGGGUACCCGGGGCCUCCGCUCUACGCUCGGCUCUCGGCCGACACUGACCUUCGGAGUCUGCGGAACGCCCCCGCUCCACGCAACUUUUUCUGAAACAUUAUCUGGGAAGCUCGGCUUUUCUUGGCCGAACCUGGACUCCCCAGACUUCCGGAACUCGCAGCUUCCGGAGCGACGCAGGACCCGGAAGUGUCAAAAAGAAGAGGAGGAAUUAAACCCACGAGAACUACGCUUCAGCGCGCGGCGGAAGGCCCGGGCGGGCGCAGCCACCGCGAACGCCGACGAGCCGAAGGGCCGAAGGGCCGAGGAGCCGAGGAGCCGAGGAGCCGAAGAGCCGAAGAGCCGAGGAGCCGAGGAGGACCCCGCACGCGAGAUCUUGUCCUGAGGAAGAGGAGGAGGAUGAUUUCUUCAAUUCGUGAAAGGAAAAAAACACCUUGCCUCCACUGGAACCGACAGUACCAGUGAGAGAGGGUAGGAGCUCCAAGUUGACAGGACAUACAGCUCGCCCUGGUGCAGGGGGACAGGGUUUGCUAGAGCCACCAGUCGCCUGAGAUGCGAGCAGACCGAAUUGAAGUCUGCUCUACGUGUAAAAUGUGCAUUGGAUUUCUAAGAUAUAGUAUGAAAAGAACGGAAUGUAAACUAUUCCGUUUUAUAUUGAUUACAUGAGAAUGAAAUAAUGUUUUGGAAAAUUUAGAAUUACGUAUGUGGCUUAUGUUAUCAUAUUUAUCUUGGAUAGUGCUGUUCCAGAGGGUAAGAGAGUCUCUUUGAAGAAGACCCAGUCUUUCAAUUGUGAAGGAAGGUGACCACGUUGCACGUCUCACCUGGGCCUACAGAUUUACUGGGCUUCACUUAAUUUUUAUGAAAGGAGGAAAAAGGACCAAAAAAAACACAGAGGAGAUUUUCAGAAAGCAAGUUCCAAUUCAUAGAGCGUUAUGUCACAUGAGCAUCACUAUAGCUGUUGAUAAUAAACAUACCAGGCUAUGCA